rnacentral:tRNA from 3 species
GGCGAGAUAGCUCAGCUGGUAGAGCAACGGACUGAAAAUCCGUGUGUCAUCGGUUCGAUCCCGAUUCUCGCCACCA